CACGUUGGAAUCUCGUAUAUUUGGUAUAGAAGGUGUGUAAACACGUUUGUAUUGUUUCUGGAAAAUUUGAGCAGAAAUUGAAUUGUUUAGAGGGCAUAAGUUGUCAGUUAAGCUGUUUUGAGAAAAAUGCCUUAAAAGACUAAGUUGUGAAUUUAAACUGCUGUAUAAGUGGAUCAUAGGGCUUACUAUACAUUUUGGAACAUCUGUGUUAAAGUUUGGGUCGAAUUUGAUAUGAAAAAAAUAAAUAAAAAAAUCAUAAGUUGCUAGUUAAACCCUUUGUAUAAUAGCUUAAGUCGGAAUUUAAGUUGUGUCAGGUAUUAUCUUGUGAUGAACAGUUUAGGAGGGAUAUGUUGAAUUGGUAUAUGAGCAAUGGAAAAAGAAUAAGCUGUUCUAAUCAUGGUAAAAGAGCUUAAAUGGUAAUUAAGCUGUUUUGGAGGUGCUUAAAUAGCCAAACGACAAACUUCGGGUGCAGGGACUGGAAUGAAUUUUUUUUGUAUAUGCUGGUUGAUGAAGUAAGAGUAUGUCACAAAUGAGUUGAGUUGUUUCGGAAAGAGCAAGACCUAUAAGCCAAGACAUAUGCUAUUUUGGAAAAUGGACUAUGGAGUUUUGGAGCUAGCAAAAGCUGCAAAUUGUGGAUAAGCUGCUUGUAAUUUCGGGACUAAUGCCAAGAUAUACAAGUUAUUAUACGACAAGAUGGUUCGUGAUGAAGAAGAAGUAGCUUGACCAUAUAGAGUACACGUCAGUGGAACUAUUUCGGAGAAUUGAACGCUACACGGUUCUGAAAGGUUUUUCACCUCAUUUCUGCGAUCUGACUGAACCCACAAGGCUGCCAUGUACGUCCCUUUCUUCCCCAUUAUCCUUCGAUUUCUGCUCAAAGGUGUGAUUGUUAUGGAGAUUUCGUCCAUGGAUGUCAAUGAUGCAAGUUACUGCAAUCUCUGACAUUGUGUGUGGAAACACGAGCAUCAAAAUUAUAUGCUAGUCACCAUAUCUUUAAUUAUAUUCCAUCUUGUAUCUCUUCUAUUUUGAUGAAUGAAAUAAUAUAACUUUAUUACUGUCAAAAAAAAUCAUGAACCUCGUUUAUACAACCUUUGUUUAUUUUUUUUGCUUAAAUACAGUUUUACCCCCUAUUUUGAUUGAA